rnacentral:rRNA from 1 species
AUUGUGAGCUCGAUGAGUAGGGCGGGACACGUGGUAUCCUGUCUGAAUAUGGGGGGACCAUCCUCCAAGGCUAAAUACUCCUGACUGACCGAUAGUGAACCAGUACCGUGAGGGAAAGGCGAAAAGAACCCCGGCGAGGGGAGUGAAAAAGAACCUGAAACCGUGUACGUACAAGCAGUGGGAGCCUCUUUAUGGGGUGACUGCGUACCUUUUGUAUAAUGGGUCAGCGACUUAUAUUCUGUAGCAAGGUUAACCGAAUAGGGGAGCCGAAGGGAAACCGAGUCUUAACUGGGCGUUAAGUUGCAGGGUAUAGACCCGAAACCCGGUGAUCUAGCCAUGGGCAGGUUGAAGGUUGGGUAACACUAACUGGAGGACCGAACCGACUAAUGUUGAAAAAUUAGCGGAUGACUUGUGGCUGGGGGUGAAAGGCCAAUCAAACCGGGAGAUAGCUGGUUCUCCCCGAAAGCUAUUUAGGUAGCGCCUCGUGAAUUCAUCUCCGGGGGUAGAGCACUGUUUCGGCAAGGGGGUCAUCCCGACUUACCAACCCGAUGCAAACUGCGAAUACCGGAGAAUGUUAUCACGGGAGACACACGGCGGGUGCUAACGUCCGUCGUGAAGAGGGAAACAACCCAGACCGCCAGCUAAGGUCCCAAAGUCAUGGUUAAGUGGGAAACGAUGUGGGAAGGCCCAGACAGCCAGGAUGUUGGCUUAGAAGCAGCCAUCAUUUAAAGAAAGCGUAAUAGCUCACUGGUCGAGUCGGCCUGCGCGGAAGAUGUAACGGGGCUAAACCAUGCACCGAAGCUGCGGCAGCGACACUAUGUGUUGUUGGGUAGGGGAGCGUUCUGUAAGCCUGUGAAGGUGGCCUGUGAGGGUUGCUGGAGGUAUCAGAAGUGCGAAUGCUGACAUAAGUAACGAUAAAGCGGGUGAAAAGCCCGCUCGCCGGAAGACCAAGGGUUCCUGUCCAACGUUAAUCGGGGCAGGGUGAGUCGACCCCUAAGGCGAGGCCGAAAGGCGUAGUCGAUGGGAAA